CUUCGGCCCGAGUUGUAAUUUGCAGAGGAUGUUUAUGGUGCGGUACCUUCCGAGUUCCCUGGAACGGGACGCCACAGAGGGUGAGAGCCCCGUCUGGUUGGAUACCAAACCUGUGUUAAACUCCUUCAACGAGUCGAGUAGUUUGGGAAUGCUGCUCUAAAUGGGAGGUAAAUCUCUUCUAAAGCUAAAUACCGGCCAGAGACCGAUAGCGCACAAGUAGAGUGAUCGAAAGAUGAAAAGCACCUUGAAAAGGGGGUUAAACAGUACGUGAAAUUGUUGAAAGGGAAGCGUUUAUGACCAGACUUGUGUCGUGUGGCUCAUCCGAGGUUCUCCCCGGUGCACUCCACACGGCUCAGGCCAACAUCGGUUCUCGUCGAGGGAUAAGAAUAGUAGGAACGUGGCCCCCUCCGGGGGGUGUUAUAGCCUAUUAUACGAUACCUUGAUGGGGACCGAGGACCGC
rnacentral:rRNA from 1 species